rnacentral:lncRNA from 1 species
CGAUCACCCUCUCGCUGUGUGCCAACGAGAUCUCCUCCUCCUCACUGGGGAGCACUUCCAGGCGUUCCCUCAACCCCAGCCGGUCCAGGCAGGCGGCUGACAUCAGGUUGUGCUGUGAGCCAGUGUCCACCACGGCCUUCAGCUCCUUCCCGGCACACUGGCAGCUCACCACCAGGAGCUCCUCAUCCUCCACGCUCCUGGAGCUCCCCAGUUUGGCUUGGUUCAGCCUGUUGCUCUGUGCUGGAGCAUCACUCUUCGAGGCCCAGCUGCCCCGGCUGCCUCGCAGCUUUGAUAGGUUUGUCUCCAUCAGGCGCCUCUGCAGGAUGUUGUGUGGUUGGGUGUCCUUGGAAGUCCC